CGGAUCCCAUCAGAACUCCGAAGUUAAGCAUGCUUGGGCGAGAGUAGUACUAGGAUGGGUGACCCCCGAGGAAGUCCUCGUGUUGCACUCCUUUUUGCGUCCAGAGCGGCCAAAACCUCUCCUGUCGACCUCCGAGGCGAUGGUUUUGGGCCUCGAAAUUUGUCAUGAUGGUUUCGGCACGCGCUUGCCGUGUCUAGUACGCGGUCAGCCUCAUGGGCAUUGGAGAGAUCCGACGAUGGCGAUUCCGAGAUCGUUCGAGAGGUUUCGGGGCGCGCAAUGGGCUCCGGUCGUCGAUACGUCAUCUGCAACAUGCACAAAGGCGAGGGACGACGCAUAGAAAACGAGUGUGAUCAUACCAGCACUAAAGCACCAGAUCCCAUCAGAACUUCUAAGUUAAGCGUGCUUGGGCGAGAGUAGUACUAAGAUGGGUGACCCUUGGGAAGUCCUCAUGUUGCACUCCUUUUUGCGCCCCGAGCAGCCCAAACCUCUCUCGUCGACCUCCGAGGCGAUGGUUUUCGGCCUCCGAAUUUGCCGUGACCGCUACACUGUUAGUCUCGUGGGGCUCGAAAAGAGCUUUCCAGAAUGGGGCCGCAAUAGCGAUUCCGAGUUCGUUCGAGAAUGUCCCGAUGGUAUCGGCGUGCGCUUGUCAUGUCCGGUAUGCGGUCGGCCUCGUGGGAAUCAGAGAGAUCCGACAAUGGCGAUUCUGAGAUCGUUCGAGAGGUUUCGGGGCGCGCAAUGGGCUCCGGUCGUUGAUACACCGUCCGUGACGUGCACAAUGGCGAGGGACGAUGCAUAGAAAACGAGAGCGGUCACACAAGCACUAUAGCACUGGAUCCCAUCAGAACUCCGAAGUUAAGCAUGCUUGGGAGAGAGUAGUACUAGGAUGUGUGACCCCCUAGGAAGUCCUCGUGUUGCACUCCUUUUUGUGCCCCGAGCGACCAAAACCUCUCCCGUCGACCUCCGUGGAUAUGGUUUUGGGCCUCGGAAUUUGCCGUGAUCGCUACGCUGUUAGUCUCGUGGGGCUCGGAGAGAGCUUUCCGGAAUGGGGUCGCAAUAGCGAUUCCGAGUUCGUUCGAGAAAGUCCCGAUGGUUUCGGCGCGCGCUUGUCGUGUCCGGUACGCGGUCGACCUCGUGGGAAUCGGUGAGAUCUGACAAUGGCGAUUCCGAGAUCGUUCGAGAGGUUUCGGGGCGCGCAAUGGGCUCCGGUUGUCGAUACGCCGUCCGCGACAUGCACAAAGGCGUGGGACGACGCACACAAAACAAGUUUGAUCAUACCAGCACUAAAGCCCUAGAUCCCAUCAGAACUCCGAAGUUAAGAGUGCUUGGGCGAGAGUAGUACUAGGAUGGGUGACCCCUUGGGAAGUCCUCUUAUUGCACUCCUUUUUGCACCCCGAGCGGCCAAAACCUCUCCCGUCGACCUCCGAGGCGAUGGUUUUGGGCCUCGGAAUUUGUCGUGACCUCUACGCUAUCAGUCUCGUGAGGCUUGGAGAGAGCUUUCCGGAAUGGGGCCGCAAUAGCGAUUCCGAGUUCGUUCGAGAAAGUCCCGAUGGUUUCGGCGUGCGCUUGCCGUGUCUGGUACGUGCUCGGCCUCAUGGGCAUCGGAGAGAUCCGACAAUGCCGAUUCCGAGAUCGUUCGAGAGGUUUCAGGGUGCGCAAUGGGCUCCGAUCGUCGAAACGCUAUCCACGACGUGCACAAAGGCAAGGGAUGACGCACAGAAAAUGAGUGCGAUCAUACCAGCACUAAAGCACCGGAUCCCAUUAGAACUCCGAAGUUAAGCGUGCUUGGGCGAGAGUAGUACUAGGAUGGGUGAUGUAACGUCCCAUUAGUCCCACAUCGGAAGUGGGCAAUGUGUAUGAUUAGCUUAUAAGAGCCAGAUGAGUGUACUACAUUAACUCCCGCUUAAGCAUUUUGGUCCAUGGUUGAAGGACCAAAAUGGAGUUAUUGGCCAGUUGGCUCAUCAGACUCGGGUCGUGACAUUUGGUAUCAGAGCCGACCUAGCAUUUGGGCAGGGUGAGAGGGCUCGAGUAGGAAAGGGCUACCUGUGGAUGGAGUCAAAGAACUCAUCACGGCGUGGAGCCACCACUGAGUUAAUCCUCACAUGCACUAUGCUAGGGUUCGAUCUGGGAUAUGUUGGGCCUUGACGAGGACGUCAAGCUAAUUGAGUUGGGAAGUGUAACAACCUAUUAGUCCCACAUCGGAAGUGGGCAAUGUGUAUGAUUAGCUUAUAAGGGCCUGAUGAGUGUACUACGUUAACUCCCGUUUAAGAAUUUUGGUUCGUGGUUGAAGGACCAAAAUGGAGUUAUUGGUCAAUUGGCUCAUCAGACUCGGGUCGUGACAUCACCCAUCACCCAUCCUAGAACCAUAUCUCAUCAUUGUAUGUUUAAGAAAAAUUUUUAGAUGAUGAUUUCAUUAUUCUCCUGCUAUACGUUAACGAUAUAUUUAUGGUUGGCCAUAAUGCUGGAAGAAUCGAAAAGCGUAAAGGAGAGUUAAGCAAGUCUUUUGGCCGCUCGGGGCGCAAAAAGGAGUGCAACACGAGGACUUCCCAGGGGGUCACCCAUCCUAGUACUACUCUCGCCCAAGCACGCUUAACUUCGGAGUUCUGAUGGGAUCCGGUGCUUUAGUGCUGGUAUGAUCGCACUCGCUUUGUUUGCGUCGUCCCUCGCCUUUGUGCACGCCGCGGACGGCGUAUCGAUGACUGGAGCCCAUUACGCGCCCCGAAACCUAUCGAACGAUCUCGGAAUCGCCAUCGUCGGAUCUCUCCGAUGCCCACGAGGCCGACCGCGUACCGGACACGGCAAGCGCGCGCCGAAACCAUCCGGACUUUCUCGAACGAACUCGGAAUCGCUAUUGCGGCCCCAUUCCGGAAAGCUCUCUCCGAGCCCCACGAGACUGACUGCGUAGCGGUCACGGCGAAUUCCGAGGCCCAAAACCAUCGCCUCGGAGGUCGACGGGAGAGGUUUUGGCAGCUCGGGGCGCAAAAAGGAGUGCAACACGAGGACUUCCCAGGGGGUCACCCAUCCUAGAACCAUAUCUGAUCAUUGCAUGUUUACGAAGAAAUUUUUAGAUGAUGAUUUCAUUAUUCUCCUGCUAUACGUUAACGAUAUAUUUAUUGUUGGCCAUAAUGCUGGAAGAAUCGAAAAGCGUAAAGGAGAGUUAAGCAAGUCUUUUGGCCGCUCGGGGCGCAAAAAGGAGUGCAACACGAGGACUUCCCAGGGGGUCACCCAUCCUAGUACUACUCUCGCCCAAGCACGCUUAACUUCGGAGUUCUGAUGGGAUCCGAUGCUUUAGUGCUGGUAUGAUCGCACUCGUUUUGUUUGCGUCCUCCCUCCCCUUUGUGCACGUCGCGGACGGCGUAUCGACGA
rnacentral:lncRNA from 1 species